GCUGAUGGAUGGAAAAGAUGGAAAGCUGCCAAAAAAACUGCAGACCGUGUAAAUGCUUAAGUUACAAGGUUUAUCAAUAUCACUGCCCCAUCAUUAAGGCACAGCUAGAUCUGAUUAUAAUUACAACUGUGCGCUCCAUUAAAUUCAUGUGUUGCUUAGAUUAAUUCUUAUGGCGUGUAAGACAAUUUUAGCCGUAUUCUUUCAGUUGCUACCCUGACAGUGUUAAGCGUCUUGGGAGCAAAUAAAAAAGAAAUACAGCCUAACAAGUGAAAAAGUAAAACAUCAAUGUGCAUUUGAAAGGACUCCAUGGUGGGGAGAAAGGUAAUCCAUCAGUGACACAUGUGCAGUGUGAAUAUUUAUAUAUGUACUAAAAAGGAAUUACCUUUAAUCAGGGAUGUCACUAGAAAAUCAUGGACUAAUCAUGGGCUAAGCUUCGUUUUGGGGGGUCUGGGCAUACUCCCCAAAACAUAUUUUCAUCAUGUAUUUUUAGUGUAACAAAAAUACAAAAUAAGGUUGUUUUUGGUCAAGGUUAGCUAAAAGUAUGUGUUUCUCAUAGUUUGUGUUAGAAACUGAUCUCAUAGGAUUUAAAUUCUAUCCAAUAAAAAAAAAUGUAAGUCCACUCUGUCUU